rnacentral:rRNA from 1 species
GAUGAACGCUGGCGGCGUGCCUAAUACAUGCAAGUCGAGCGAACAGAUAAGGAGCUUGCUCCUUUGACGUUAGCGGCGGACGGGUGAGUUACACGUGGAUAACCUACCUAUAAGACUGGGAUAACUUCGGGAAACCGGAGCUAAUACCGGAUAACAUAUUGAAUCGCAUGGUUCAAUAGUGAAAGGCGGCUUUGCCGUCACUUAUAGAUGGAUCCGCGCCGUAUUAGCUAGUUGGUAAGGUAACGGCUUACCAAGGCAACGAUACGUAGCCGACCUGAGAGGGUGAUCGGCCACACUGGAACUGAGACACGGUCCAGACUCCUACGGGAGGCAGCAGUAGGGAAUCUUCCGCAAUGGGCGAAAGCCUGACGGAGCAACGCCGCGUGAGUGAUGAAGGUCUUCGGAUCGUAAAACUCUGUUAUUAGGGAAGAACAAAUGUGUAAGUAACUGUGCACAUCUUGACGGUACCUGAUCAGAAAGCCACGGCUAACUACGUG